GACGCACGCUGGCGGCGUGCCUAAUACAUGCAAGUAGGACGCAGUUGCGAACGGGUGAGUAACGCGUAGGUAACUACCUAUUAGAGGGGGAUAACUAUUGGAAACGAUAGCUAAUACCGCAUACUAGUAGAUGGACCUGCGUUGUAUUAGGUAGUAGGUAGGGUAAUGGCCUACCUAGGCAACGAUACAUAGCCGACCUGAGAGGGUGAUCGGCCAAACUGUGGAUGAGACACGGCCCAGACUCCGACGGGAGGCAGCAGUAGGGAUGCUUGGGCAAUGGGGGGAAGCUGGACCGAGCAACGCCGAUAGAGUGAAGAAGGUUUUCGGAUCGGAAAGCUCUGUUGUUAAGGAAGCGGUACUUAACCAGAAAGGGACGGCUAACUACGUGCCAGAAGCCGCGGUAAAAC
rnacentral:rRNA from 1 species